rnacentral:tRNA from 1 species
UUCCUGGUGGCUCAGAGGGUAAAGCGUCUGCCUGCAAUGCAGGAGACCCGGGUUCGAUCUCUGGGUUGGGAAG